CUCAGAGAGCUGUUUCAAUGACUAGUCUUAAGAACUUAAGCAAAUUUGGAGUCUCAGCUUCCUCUUGUGGUCUUAAAGAUGCUAAUGAAAGCUCCACCCCCCUAGGGUAAGUUGGUCUAGAAUUGAAUUGUGCACUUGGGAAAAGGGCCUUUAUUAAA